rnacentral:lncRNA from 1 species
AAAAAGGGCCCAAAUAAGCAUUUUCUUGGUUUUCGCACUAUAGCUUUUAGUUUAAGUAAAUAGAAAUCUAUAAAAUUUUGACACAAGGUUUAUGACCACAAAAGGAAGGUUGGGAUUGAUUUUGGGAGUUUUGGUCCCAACAGUUUAGGAAUUAGGGGCCAAUAAAGGGCCCAAAUAAGCAUUAUUCUUGGUUUUCGCACAAUAACUUUAGUAUAAGUAAAUAGAAAUCAAUGAAAUUUAAACACAAGGUUUAUGACCACAAAAGGAAGGUUGGGAUUGAUUUUGAGAGUUUUGGUCCCAACAGUUUAGGAAUUAGGGGCCAAAAAGGG